rnacentral:rRNA from 1 species
GAUGAACGCUAGCGGCAGGCCUAAUACAUGCAAGUCGGACGGGAUCCAUUGAUAGCUUGCUCUCAAUGGUGAGAGUGGCGCACGGGUGCGUCACGCGUGAGCAACCUGCCUCCAUCAGGGGGAUAGCCUCUCGAAAGAGAGAUUAACACCGCAUAAUAUCAACAGUUCGCAUGUUCAGUUGAUUAAAUAUUUAUAGGAUGGAGAUGGGCUCGCGUGACAUUAGCUAGUUGGUAGGGUAACGGCUUACCAAGGCGACGAUGUCUAGGGGCUCUGAGAGGAGAAUCCCCCACACUGGUACUGAGACACGGACCAGACUCCUACGGGAGGCAGCAGUAAGGAAGAUUGGUCAAUGGGCGGAAGCCUGAACCAGCCAUGCCGCGUGCAGGAUGACUGCCCUAUGGGUUGUAAACUGCUUUUGUCCAGGAAUAAACCUAAAUACGAGUAUUUAGCUGAAUGUACUGGAAGAAUAAGGAUCGGCUAACUCCGUG